ensembl:lincRNA
GGGUGCGAUCCAAAGGCCGCGGGCCACCGGCCUCGCCGCGGGUUCAAGUGCGUCCGGGUUUGGACGCCGCGGCUCCAGGAGUGUGCUCUCUCUCCUGCCCAUCCCCUCCCCGGAGUUCAGCGUAUCCGCGGCUCCGGGGACCCCUCUUCCCGGCCCUCCCAGCCGCGCGGCCGCCCGCCUCGGGCCCGACCCAACGCGCCUGUCUCCGGUUCCUGGCCAAGGCGCGAGGACGCGGGCGGGCACCGGGUUCCCACUUCUCCCAGGCCACGAUCCCGGCCCACGCACGAGGCUCCCGCGCCCAUCGUGGAGGCUCCGCCUGGAAAAGAAGUUCGACUUCCUCUCCAAGCUGCUCCGAGGGGAAUCGGAAAUCGGCAGGAAAUGACCAGAACUGCCAGCCUGCGCCUUUGCAGCCGGCCCUCGCUUUUCUGAAGACGAGCAGCUCCCACCAAAGUCUUGCCUCCCCCUACCCCGAAAGCCCCGCUCAGGUCAAAGAGCCUAAAAGAAAAGCCCGGAGCCAUACACUCCUCUGGUUGAAGCCAUAAAGAGUUCAAUAUUUCCAGUGAAAAUUUGCCUGUUCAAAAAGAAAACAUUCACAAAUGAGCAGUGUGUUAGAAGACAACUGAACUGCUUCUAGGAAUGGUGGGUAUGCUAAUAUUUACCAAAUGAUACAACAUGUGCAUGCCAAAGCUCUUUGUAAACUAUAACACACCUCCAAAUGAAAGCUAUUUGCAUAUAUUUCAAUCAACUUGUCUGCCUUUACCACAUCCACCAACUAAUCCUUAUGCUCCCACUGCAAAGACUCUCCUCUUUUUGGAGAAGAACACCAAUUGUUUGAAACCCUGGACUUGCCAACAAUCUUAAGGCAUCUUCAUAGUAUCCUUCCUUAAGAGUGCUUUCAUCUUAAUAUUAAGUAAACAUUUAGAAGUUUAUGAACUUUGGGGACUUUCUUUUCAGAUAACUGAACACGUGUAUAUAAAAUUACAAUAUUCUGAUAAGUGAGGGGAAGAAAAUAAAAAUAGGUUUCAAUACAGUUAUAGCUUAAGAUCUUGAUGAAAUCGAGAGCAAAGUAGAAAUCAAGUGCAUCGAAUGAAGAAGGGUCAGACUGAAUUCUGUUUGUAAUUUUUUCAUAUGAACUGAAAUGCAGUUUUUCUGACUAUAUGUUUUAUUUUAUAAAUAUUAAUCACUUUGAUUCAUUUAAUUUCUCUGGAAGAAACUGUAGCUUUUGUAACAGAGUCUGCUCUACUGGGUUGUGUAUGGGCACCUACCAGUUUGCUUUCUAGUCAGUAUCAUGUGAAUUGUCUACAGAAAAUGCCCUUAGCAAACACCUUCAAAAAGCACCCAUUCCAAGAGCACACCUCUUGUGUCUCUCACGAAGCAAGUGGUACUAUGUCUAGCCAAGGAGGCAGACUCAAAUUCAUGCAUUCAUCUCAGGUUUUUUGGUGACCACCUUCCUAGGUCCUGCUCUUGGCAACUGUAAGCCAAGUGUACAUAAGUAUCAGAAUGGAUUCUCUAGGUACCAAGUGAAAAUUCUAUCUCUAGUCACAUGCUCCUGCACCCUUCAUGUGGGAAAAAUAUUCCAGUCUUUCCUUGAUUACAUCACAGAUGAUACGAGAACAGGACACAGGGGACAGGGAACUGCUGAACAGCUGGGUAUCUCUGGAAACUUGGAGCACUUAAAAACACUUUGAGGCCAUGCAGCUGCUCUUUUUUUUUAAUUGUCUUCAGUGAAACUCCAAAACCCCAAUAAUAUCUACCUUAAAAGCAUCAGGAGUAUUUUAAUUGGGCAAUAACCAUCCAUAUUUUCCUUCUGAUAAAUUAAAAGGAAUUAAGAAUGAAAUUUUAUGAUGAUUAUAAAGUGUAUUACUGACCCAAGGGACAAGAACAAUUGUGAAAAAUAUGUCCUACAUAUUUGGCAUGAAUAUGAAUUUAGACUUUAAACCAUUCAACUUAAAUGCUCAAGCAUCUUAUUAAAGCUUAUAAAAUAAUAUUCACAUAAUGAUAACAGAGUAACUUAUAAUCAUGAUUGAUAUUAUAGCAUCAAUAUUGCAGCAGGCUUUGUGCCAAAUACUGAAAUUGACUUGGUCUUUGCCUGUUGGACUUAGAAUAAAAAUAAAUACAUUAUUAAAAAGAUGAAACAUGGUAAAAGAUUUUGUGCAUUUGAGAUUUUUUUUUCUUUCUCCGAUUAAAAUUACUAACAAUGAAAAGGAAAAGUGAUUUUUGAAAAACCUGGAAAACCUAAUGAGUUGGAAUUGUACUACUAAAUGUUGGAAGAAGAUCUGAUCAAAAUUAAACUUUAAUAGCCAGCAGCCGUUUGAGGACAAGUUCACCUUACAUGAAUCCGGGUCAUCAUUUGAGGGUAACCCACCAAGCUUAGCCUAGCGGUGGCCAGGCCCUAAAAUAGGAGUCGUCUUGGAGAGCAAGAACAUUUCUGUAUUUGAGUUAAUGCUACCCACCAGCAAUCAAGAUCAAUUAACUCUUGUAGUAAACUUUUUUAAUGAAUUGGAGAUGACUACAGAAAUUGCCAAAGACAAUAUGGGCAAAAAUGGAUGGGCUAAGUGAAGGGGCUGCCUAUAUCAGCAUUUACUUAGGCCUGGCCCCACAAAGCCCUAGCAGUUGCCAUUCAGACACUUGCAUGUUAACAACAUUAAGACCUUUAGAGUGUAUAUUUAACUGUAUUUUCUUCCACAUAGGUAUUGGCACUUUUUAGCAUGACCUACCUUUUGUGUGUCAUGCUAAAAAGUGUAUAUAACUAAUAGAACACACACAUUUAACUUAUUAUGGGCUUGGGUUUCCUGGGUUUCAGCUUCAGUGUAUGUCCCCUGGCAGGUUUCUUAACUGGUCUGAGCGUAAGUUUCCUCAUUUAUAAAACAAAGGCAGUAAGUGGUGCCUUUCUGCAAUAUUAAAAUUAGUAUUAAAUGGAAUAAUGUUCACAAAAUAUCUGGAACAGUUUGCCGUCAGUAAAUAUCUAUUACUAUAGUUGCAAGGGAAAACAAGAUUGAAUCUUUGUUCUCAGUUUCUAUAAAUAUAAAAUUUUAGAGUUUUUUUUUUUUUUUUUUUUUUGUUUUUUUUUUUUUUUGAGACGGAGUCUCGCUCUGUCGCCCAGGCUGGAGUGCAGUGGCGCGAUUUCGGCUCACUGCAAGCUCCGCCUCCCGGAUUCACGCCAUUCUCCUGCCUCAGACUCCCAAGUAGCUGGGACUACAGGCGCCGCCACCAAGCCCGGCUAGUUUUUUGUAUUUUUUAGUAGAGACGGGGUUUCACCAUGUUAGCCAGGAUGGUCUUGAUCUCCUGACCUCGUGAUCCACCCGUCUCGGCCUCCCAAAGUGCUGGGAUUACAGGGUUGAGCCACCGCGCCCGGCCUUAGAUAUUGUUUAAAGAGAGAGAGCAUCUAAAUGAACAGUUUCAAUAGCAUCUUGUUCAUAUUCAGAAAUACAGCCCUGAACUCAAACUUGAAACUUUAGUGUUAGCCAACCUCCCCUCCUCCCAUCACCACCUGAAGGAAAAUAUCUUUGUGUAGCACAAAAGAACUUAAUUCUAAUUCCUUUUUUUUUUUAUUUUAAGACAGGGUCUCACUGUGCCAUCACCCAGGCUGGAGUGUGGUGGCACCAUCAUGGUUCACUACAGCCUUGAAUUCCUGAGCUUAAGUGAUCCUCCCACCUCAACCUCCCGAGUAGCUGGAACUGCAGGUGUGAGCCACCAUGCCUGGCUGAUUUAUCUUUUUAAAUUUUUUUAUAAAGACUGGGUCUCAACUAUAUUGCUCAGCCUGGAAAAGAACUUCUUUCCCUCCAGGUGAUACCUUUUCCAGACAAGUCAGCUUAAAAAUUGACCCAAGGGCCCUGAAGUACACAAUUUCCUUGGAGAAAGAAAGAAAGAAGGGAAAAGGACUUGCGGACUUGCUGAUUCAUUUUGGGGCCUGUGGGUAACAUCAGAAUGGCAAAGC